rnacentral:rRNA from 1 species
AACCGAAUAGGGGAGCCGGAGGGAAACCGAGUCUUAAUUGGGCGUUAAGUUGCAGGGUAUAGACCCGAAACCCGGUGAUCUAGCCAUGGGCAGGUUGAAGGUUGGGUAACACUAACUGGAGGACCGAACCGACUAAUGUUGAAAAAUUAGCGGAUGACCUGUGGCUGGGGGUGAAAGGCCAAUCAAACCGGGAGAUAGCUGGUUCUCCCCGAAAGCUAUUUAGGUAGCGCCUCGUGAAUUCAUCUCCGGGGGUAGAGCACUGUUUCGGCUAGGGGGCCAUCCCGGCUUACCAACCCGAUGCAAACUGCGAAUACCGGAGAAUGUUAUCACGGGAGACACACGGCGGGUGCUAACGUCCGUCGUGAAGAGGGAAACAACCCAGACCGCCAGCUAAGGUCCCAAAGUCAUGGUUAAGUGGGAAACGAUGUGGGAAGGCCCAGACAGCCAGGAUGUUGGCUUAGAAGCAGCCAUCAUUUAAAGAAAGCGUAAUAGCUCACUGGUCGAGUCGGCCUGCGCGGAAGAUGUAACGGGGCUAAACCAUGCACCGAAGCUGCGGCAGCGACACUGUGUGUUGUUGGGUAGGGGAGCGUUCUGUAAGCCUGUGAAGGUGUGUCGUGAGGCAUGCUGGAGGUAUCAGAAGUGCGAAUGCUGACAUAAGUAACGAUAAAGCGGGUGAAAAGCCCGCUCGCCGGAAGACCAAGGGUUCCUGUCCAACGUUAAUCGGGGCAGGGUGAGUCGACCCCUAAGGCGAGGCCGAAAGGCGUAGUCGAUGGGAAACGGGUUAA